rnacentral:rRNA from 1 species
AGGGUGCAGGGCGGAUGCCUUGGCACUAGGAGCCGAUGAAGGACGUGAUAAGCUGCGAUAAGCUUCGGGGAGUUGCACGUAAACUUUGAUCCGAAGAUUUCCGAAUGAGGAAACUCACUUAGAGUAAUGUCUAAGUAUCAUUAAGUGAAUACAUAGCUUAAUGAGGGGAACUCAGGGAACUGAAACAUCUAAGUACCUGAAGGAAGAGAAAGAAAUUCGAUUCCGUAAGUAGCGGCGAGCGAACGCGGAUUAGCCCAAACCAAUAAAGUUUUCUUUAUUGGGGUUGCGGACAUAUCAUAACGAAGAGGUAUCGUAAUUGAAGAGGUUUGGAAAGACCCACCACAGAAGGUAAUAGUCCUGUAUGUUAAACGAGAAGACUUUAGAUAUGAUCCAGAGUACCACGGGACACGUGAAACCCUGUGGGAAGCAGGAGGGACCACCCUCCAAGGCUAAAUACUACCUAGUGACCGAUAGCGUAUAGUACCGUGAGGGAAAGGUGAAAAGAACCCCGGGAGGGGAGUGAAAUAGAACCUGAAACCCUGCACUUACAAGCUGUGGAAGCACAUUUCUUGUGUGACCGCGUACUUUUUGUAGAACGGGCCAACGAGUUACGUUAAGUAGCAAGGUUAAGCACUUAAGGUGCGGAGCCGUAGCGAAAGCGAGUUUUAACUGAGCGUUCAGUUACUUGACGUAGACCCGAAACCGGGCGACCUACCCAUGAGCAGGAUGAAGCGAAAGUAAAAUUUCGUGGAGGUCCGAACCCACGAGCGUUGAAAAGCUCGGGGAUGACUUGUGGGUAGCGGUGAAAUUCCAAUCGAGCCCGGAGAUAGCUGGUUCUCCCCGAAAUAGCUUUAGGGCUAGCCUCAAGGUGAGAGAUACGGAGGUAGAGCACUGAAUGUCCUAGGGGGUAUUGCACCUACCGAAGACUAUCAAACUCCGAAUGCCGUCAUCUUAUACUUGGGAGUCAGACUGUGGGUGAUAAGAUUCAUAGUCGAAAGGGCAACAGCCCAGAUCGUCAGCUAAGGUCCCUAAAUGUAAGUUAAGUGGUAAAGGAUGUGGGAUUGCACAGACAACCAGGAUGUUGGCUUAGAAGCAGCCACUCAUUCAAAGAGUGCGUAAUAGCUCACUGGUCGAGUGAUCCUGCGCCGAAGAUUUCCGGGGCUAAAACUUACUACCGAAGCUACGGCAUCAGUAAUGAUGGGUAGGGGAGCUUCCCAUACGGGUUGAAGCAUGACCGUAAGGACAUGUGGACAGUAUGGGAGUGAGAAUGUUGGCAUGAGUAGCGAGAUGUGGGUGAGAAUCCCACAGGCCGUAAACCCAAGGUUUCCAGGGGAAGGUUCGUCCGCCCUGGGUUAGUCGGGACCUAAGCUGAGGCCGAAAGGCGUAGGUGAUGGACAACAGGUUGAUAUUCCUGUACUACCGAUAACCGUUUGAGAGAAGGGAUGACACAGUAGGAUAAGCUAAGCACACUGUUGGUUAUGUGUGCCCAAGCAUUGAGGCAGUCAAAGUAGGCAAAUCCGCUUUGAUAAUGCUGGGAUGUGAUGGGGAGCGAAAUUUAGUAGCGAAGUAGCUGAUUUCACACUGUCAAGAAAAGUCUCUAUCGAGGUUAAAGGUACCCGUACCGCAAACCGACACAGGUGGGUGAGGAGAGUAUCCUAAGGCCAGCGAGAGAACUGUUGUUAAGGAACUCGGCAAAAUGACCCCGUAACUUAGGGAUAAGGGGUGCCACCAUCAGGUGGCCGCAGAGAAUAGGCCCAAGCGACUGUUUACCAAAAACAUAGGUUUCUGCUAAGUCGCAAGACGAUGUAUAGGAGCUGACGCCUGCCCGGUGCUGGAAGGUUAAGGGGAUCUGUUAGAGCAAUCGAAGCAGUGAACUUAAGCCCCAGUAAACGGCGGCCGUAACUAUAACGGUCCUAAGGUAGCGAAAUUCCUUGUCGGGUAAGUUCCGACCCGCACGAAAGGCGUAACGAUUUGGGCACUGUCUCAACAACAGACUCGGUGAAAUUGUAAUUCCGGUGAAGAUGCCGGAUACCUGCGACAGGACGGAAAGACCCCAUGGAGCUUUACUGUAGCUUGACAUUGGGUCUUGGUACUACAUGUACAGGAUAGGUGGGAGGCUUUGAAACCAGGACGCCAGUUUUGGCGGAGCCAUCCUUGGGAUACCACCCUUGUAGUACCUGUCUCUUAUACACAUCUCCGAGCCCACGAGACCGUACUAGAUCUC